GAGCUUUUAGCCCGGGUUAUACCUGAUGCUCACGUAUAAGACGAGCAAAAAGCUUGU
rnacentral:pre_miRNA from 1 species